rnacentral:rRNA from 1 species
ACGGACGCUGGCGGCGUGCCUAAUACAUGCAAGUAGAACGCACAGUUUAUACCGUAGCUUGCUACACCAUAGACUGUGAGUUGCGAACGGGUGAGUAACGCGUAGGUAACCUGCCUGGUAGCGGGGGAUAACUAUUGGAAACGAUAGCUAAUACCGCAUAAUAUUAAUUAUUGCAUGAUAAUUAAUUGAAAGGUGCAAUUGCACCACUACCAGAUGGACCUGCGUUGUAUUAGCUAGUAGGUGAGGUAACGGCUCACCUAGGCGACGAUACAUAGCCGACCUGAGAGGGUGAUCGGCCACACUGGGACUGAGACACGGCCCAGACUCCUACGGGAGGCAGCAGUAGGGAAUCUUCGGCAAUGGACGAAAGUCUGACCGAGCAACGCCGCGUGAGUGAAGAAGGUUUUCGGAUCGUAAAGCUCUGUUGUAAGAGAAGAACGGGUGUGAGAGUGGAAAGUUCACACUGUGACGGUAUCUUACCAGAAAGGGACGGCUAACUACGUG